GUGCUCACUUCAGCAGCACAUAUACUGAAAUAGGACCAAUAUGGAGAAGAUUAACAUGGCUCCUGUACAAAGAUGACAUGCAAAUUUAUGAAGCAUUUCAUAUUUUU